UCAGUGUUGCAUACAUACGGGCUUCAGCCUGCCUGUGCUCAUAGCAAACAAGAUUAAAAGUUGUUAAGUUUUUAUUUAAGUAUAUUAAAAGUUGUGGGAUGGGAGAAUCCACUUAAACUUGGAAAACAUUAAGAAAAAGAAAUUGUGUUAACAGCCAAUAUUAUUCCCUUUCCUGUUAGCUUACAGUUUUUCUAGAGAGACUGUUUUUCUUUUUUGCUUUUGCUUUUAGAAAAUCUUGUCUGACAGUCUUUUAGAGGUUAUUGAGGAUGAUAACUACUGGAGGACGACUGAAGAAGUCAGACUCUCCACUGCCUCUCUUGUACCUUGGACUUCUUGGAAGAUGUCACUGGACCUGCUGCAAAUGUUACUCGGUGCAAUAUCCUCCCCAAGUCAAUGUGUCUGCCCGGGUAGUUACCUGUUCCCAUAAUUUAUGUGUUUCACAGAUUUCUGUAAGUAUUCAUGGAACACUGUUGUACUCAUUUCACAAACUGAGAGACUGAUAGCGGAGAUAAAGGCUUCAUUCCCAAAUGUAAUUAACUGUAAGUCCAGCCUGUAGCCUUGCCAGUUCAAUACUGCCUUCCCCUUCACCUGCUGUCACUGAAGGUGUUGUGAAAAACAGGCAUCUCUAUUAACUUUCCACAGUAUUUAAAUGUCUUUGCUGUUGUGUCCAGAGCUGCAUAGAUUUUGAUUUUGGUGUGUUCCUUUGCCAACCUUGCUUGCAGACAUUGUCAACCAGGAUGUAUCUCAUGGAAAUCUUCCUGGCAUUAGUGAUAUAAAUAAAAAUGCUCUCCCUCUCUUCACAGUUCCAUACAUAGAAAACUCCUAAAGGAUUUGGGAACACUUCCUGUGGUGUAUAAAAUGAAUCAAAAAUCAUUGAGGCAAGGAAUCAGAUCCACUGUGCCCUUUACCUGACUUGCAACUGGUCUGCAUGUAUCACUGCCUCAGCUACAACUGGCUUAUGCCAGAAUUUUGAAAUUAUGCUAUUUCUACAUUUCCAUUCCCAUCUAAGUAGCAGCAAUCAGAUUUAACAUAGCGGAAUUUCAAAGACCGCUGAGCAAAUUUCAUUUUUGGUAUGGAACAUGGUAUCUCCCCCUCCCAAACAGUGAUCUAAGAAUAAGGGUGACAUUUCAUUUGCCUCUGUGAGAGUUAUGGGGGAUACUCACAUCAUUCCUACCUUUCCUCAGGAGUGACAGAGAACCCUCCCACUUCCUCUCAUGCUCCCUCUCAUCGGUUGCCUACAUUGUCUGUCCUCCAGAUAUUGCCUGUUUGGAAUAAGCUCACCACUUUCUCACCUCUUGCAUUGCAUUCACGUUCAUGUGUGUUGACACCUCUAAUGAAAGUACUACCAUUUUUUGGAGAUGCAACUGUAGUAUGUCGGUUUUGAAAUACUUAUUGGAAAAAAGUAGGGGGCUUUAAAAAGUAGGUAGGUUACUAAUGUAACCCUGACUUCCACUUGUGACUUUUCUUGCUGACAUAGCUGUUUCUGGCACUAUGUGGGCAUUUGUGUAUAUAUAUUUAUAUAUUAUACAAAGAAAAUAUGUGAGAAUAAAAACUCAAUAGCUUGCUGAAGGGACACUAUUGCAGGGAAAGAACCAGAGAUUGUACAGAAUCCUCUGUUCUCUAUGAAACAGGAAUGACUGUUAGGCUGAAAAAAUAGGCAAAAUUAUGGUCAAAUAUUUGAUGGAGUUUUUUGGGCUAUUUUUCACAGAUGUACAAUACCAGUGGAAAUUUCUAGCUGGAUCUGCCACCAUUUAACCCUCCCCACCCCCUCAUCUUUGAACUGAUUUUCUUCACUUUUGAUUCAUUCUCUAGAUUUUACUGAAGUUUGAAACCAAUGUAAAUCUCAGACUGUAGGCUUUAAUGUAACUUACUGUACAUGGGAGAUAAAGUAAAUAAAAUCUGUGCAAACUUGUACACUAUAUUGAUAUAACCAGAACCUUUUCUGGAGACUGUUAUACAAUAACACUUUUUACCAACUCUGGCAAAAUGAAUACUCCUGCUUUUUAUCAGUACUGCUCCAGCAAAAUGAGUUCCACAGACAUGUCUAUCCCAACCACUAGGUUAUCUAUUCAUUAUGUCAAAUAUAUUUAUAGAAAAAGAGUAGUUUAAGACAUAAGGGCAAAGCUAAGCUUAAACUUUCAGCCAUUACUGCUUUUCCUGUCCCAUGCAAUCUCUUAAUUUGAAAAGAAUGUAUGCUCCUUAACACUCGGCUUCACAUUCUGCUUUCCAGUAAGGGCUUGUCUGGUGAUCAGAGCACAGCAGAAAGGUUUUUCUCUCUUGGCCUUUGUAAUUCAGGUGUAAUUCUGUGUUAUUUUGUACAAUCCGCUGGCUUUAUCAUCUAAAACUGUUGUCACAGGUUUUUCCCUCUUACUUAGAAAACAGAUUAAGAAACUUCCUCCAGAUAUUCUAGAAUUAUUUAUCCUCUAUGAAUUUCUUCUGCCUCUAUGAAGUAUACAUUAAUUUUAAUUUAUAUUUGUGGUCUGUAUAAACGCAUAUCUUUCCUACAGAUGACCUAAAAAUUGUAUUUCUUGUUCAAUGGCAAUAUUUUUGCCUUUAUGUUAGAUGGGGUGUCAACCCAAUUAUAUAAGUUAAGAAGACUCCUUAUUUCUAUUUCAAAGUUGAAAAAGAAAGAUUAAUGGAACACUUCACUGUGAUUCAUAAUAUCCUUAGAAUUAAAUUAUUUCAUUUUAAUCAGGUGCACAUUAUUGAUAACACUGAAUCACAACUUUAGCAAUUCUUCAAAGAUAUUUUGCAUUAGGGGAAAGGGACUCAAAAUUCUGGGUGUUGCAACAUUUUAAGAGCUGUUAUACUUCAUUUUUUUGCUUUCUUUUCUCACUAGUUUCCUCCCUUUAUUCCUUCUGACAAUUUAUGUUUCUUAAAUACCCUUUCAAAAUAAUAUGAGUCAGGAAAAAAGUAAUUGGUAAUUCCAUACAUAUCCUCUAGCUCAAAUAAAUGUCAAUGCAAAUGCAGAAAACUAUACUGGACUAAAACAGUUAGAAAGAAGGAGGUUUGAGUGCUUUGUUUUCUUCAUACCAACACUUCCAUCUAUAUUCCAGAAAGAGGAGUGUCAUUUGACAAUUUAAUAUGAAGACCUAUUUCAUUUUGGAUAAUUUAAAAGCAAAAUUGCAGAACAACAUUUGGUAGCAGAUGAUUUACACAGUAUGCUUUAUUUUGCAUUGCAGUAUGUUUUUUAUAAAAAUUUCAAAAUUGAAAUCUAAGAUGUAUUGCAUAUCCCAUCUGCAGAAUGGCAUCUCAGAACAUUUAUUUUUAGUAUGCAGUAGCUUCUGAGACUUCAGGGUUAUUACUAUGGUAUUAUAGUAUAGUUUAUCAAAGGGAAUAUUAAAAGUAAAGGAGAGGAGAGCAAUCACUCUGCUGUAGGAAUACAAAAUCAUAUGGCUCAGUUUAGAGAAACAUGUUAGAUGUUAGUGUUCUAGCGAUAAUGGAGUUUAACAGCCUUCGUAGUGAGUCAGUGCUCAGUAAAUUGAAACAAUGAGAAAUACAGCUAAAACCCUGUGACCUACAUUUCUAGUAACUGUUGAUUCAGAGCCCUCAGCCUUUACAUAUACAAGACAAGGCACAGUGAAGAGGACUAGGUCUUUAAAAACAAGAUCUCUGGAAUGCUGUCGAAGUGGAGAUACUAAAAAUCAAGUCUUGCUUUUGAAAAAGUGUAUCACACUCUCAUAUCUGAUUAAAAAGUAGUGAGGAAAUCAUAUAAUUAGAAUGCAUACACUGUUACUUUCACUGAACUCUUUGACCUCAUACAGUUAAUUCAUUUGUGUGGCAAAGUCUUACAAUAUUGAUGAAAGAACAUUAAAAUAGCUUUUGAUCAAUAUCCGUUGAGCUGUAUGAAUUUAUACCAGUUGGGGUUUUGGCCCUCAAUCUCCAUGAAACCUUGAACUUCCACUGUACUGUAUUA